rnacentral:rRNA from 1 species
GACGAACGCUGGCGGCGUGCUUAACACAUGCAAGUCGAACGGAAAGGCCCUGCUUUUGUGGGGUGCUCGAGUGGCGAACGGGUGAGUAACACGUGAGUAACCUGCCCUUGACUUUGGGAUAACUUCAGGAAACUGGGGCUAAUACCGGAUAGGAGCUCCUGCUGCAUGGUGGGGGUUGGAAAGUUUCGGCGGUUGGGGAUGGACUCGCGGCUUAUCAGCUUGUUGGUGGGGUAGUGGCUUACCAAGGCUUUGACGGGUAGCCGGCCUGAGAGGGUGACCGGCCACAUUGGGACUGAGAUACGGCCCAGACUCCUACGGGAGGCAGCAGUGGGGAAUAUUGCACAAUGGGCGGAAGCCUGAUGCAGCAACGCCGCGUGCGGGAUGACGGGCUGCGGGGUGUAAACCGCUUUCGCCUGUGACGAAGCGUGAGUGACGGUAAUGGGUAAAGAAGCACCGGCUAACUACGUG